GCACUCUGUUUCUAAUUCUAUAUUAGAGAUAGCGUCCUGGGAGCGGCGGACGGGUGAGUAACACGUUGGUAACUACUCCAGAAUCAGGGAUAAGCUCUAGAAAUAGGGUCUAAUACCGGAUAGUCCCGAAAGGGUAAAGCAGCAAUGCGUUCUGGAAGGUGCCUGCGGCCUAUCAGCUUGUUGGUGAGGUAAAAGCUUACCAAGGCUAUGACGGGUAGCUGGUCUGAGAGGACGGCCAGCCACAAUAGGACUGAGACACGGCCCAUACUCCUACGGGAGGCAGCAGUAAAGAAUCUUUCGCAAUGGGGGCAACCCUGACGAAGCAACACCGCGUGGAGGAUGAAGGCGUUUUCGUUGUAAACUCCUUUUCUGAAGGAAUAACUUUGAAGGUACUUCAGGAAUAAGCAGCGGCUAACUACGUGCCAGCAGCCGCGGUAAUACGUAGGCUGCAAGCGUUAUCCGGAAUUAUUGGGCGUAAAGCGUACGCAGGCGGUCUGUUAAGUUGGAUGUUAAAGCCCUGAGCUCAACUCAGGACAUGUGUCCAAUACUGGCAGGCUAGAGAUAGGCAGAGGAAAGUGGAAUUCUGUAUGUAGGGGUAAU
rnacentral:rRNA from 1 species